rnacentral:lncRNA from 1 species
AUGACUCCCACCAGGGGGUGGGGACCGCCAUGCCUCGCCUUCCAUGUGACAGCCAACAGGCGUCCACAGGCACUAUCCAGACCACCCAGGGGUCCCAGUGACUCACAGUCUCAGUCUGUGCCCACCAGGGUCCCCAGCCGCUGCGCUGAGACCCCAGAGCCAUCCAGAGGCCACUUGGAGGCCUUCCGGAUAACCCCACCCAGGAGCCGGGCCCAAAGCCAGCACACGGGGAUUCUCCAGUUCCACACCAAUGACAUGUGGGACAAAGAGCUGAAUGCCAGGUGGCAGAGGAGUUCAUGAAGACACGGAGCCUCAUGUCUGAGCUACUUCUAUGGGAAAUCGUACUCAGGACCUCAAAGGAUCGAUGGGAAACCUGUCCACCAGCCCGUUUCAAAAGUUAGAGAUGGCGUGGAUGGCAGAAACGGGAGCCGGGGGCUGAGGCAGACAAUUGGAGGAAGAGGGCACACCUCCAGUCACACUCCUCUCCCCAAGGCCGUCAGAGAAAGAAGCAUGCUCGGGGUUUCCCACCAUCGCCCUCCCGGGCAGCUGCGCCGCAGAUGGCAGAGCUCAGCGGUCGUCCCCACUUGGCAGCUGUGUCCCUAGCACACCAAAUGCAGAUGGGUCCUUAACUUCUGCCCUUUCUGAGGUUUCAGGUCAGGGAAGGGUCAGAGUCUGCAGAUUUAGGGUGAAACAAUCCACUGUGCUUCCUGUGAUACGCACAACGCUGGGCAUGUCACCCACGCUCUCAGCCCUCAGAGUUCACCCCUCGAAAAUGGAAGCAGUCCCCUGUCUCCCACUGCGGUCACAAUGGCCGGUCAGAUGACAGCUGAGUUGAGUUCGAUGUCAACUUCUGGGCCUAGCGGGGAAGUCUGGAUGUGUGCCCCCUCCGGGACAGACACGGAGCUCAGCUUUGCUCCUGGCACGUGGGUCUGUGUCCUGCUCACUCUGCCCAUGGAAGGAGCUUCCUCUAUGCAACACAGAUUUGCUGGGUCUGGUGGGGGUGCAGGGUGGGGGACCUGGGCAUGAAGCAACUUCCUCCUCCUAGCUCCACAGCUCCAAGACAGACAGAAACCCAGGGGUGUCCACAGCCCAGAACCCAACUCCCGACCCUGAGAUUGCUCG